GCCCCAAACAAUUCUAUUGCCAUGGGACACUUAACAAUUUGAGAUUCUUAAGAUUUAUAUUGUCAUCUUAGACUUUACUAGAAUGUCUUCUCGCAAAUAUUAUUUCAUGCAAAUGAAUCUAACAUGUCUAGUCAGGUGGGUGCAUUGCUGGUUUGAAAUAUUAAUAGUGUUCAAUUGCAAAUGAAUUAAUAUUGCAAAUUAAUUACCCCUUAGAAAGAUCAUUGGAAUCUUGUUGAAUUUUGUUCAGCAGGCUUUCUUCCCAUAGCAUCUCUAUAUGACUGAGAUAUUUGACUCCUCCAUAGGUGAUUUGAUCUGAAUAUUGGUGGGAUGGGCUUUCCCUUUGAGACAAAUGAUUACUCUUGAGUUUUGUGAGGUGAUGAGAACCUGAAAGUCAACAAAUCCUUCUGUUCCCUCAACUAUAAGUGUCAAUACACCAAUUAGGUGUGUUGGCCAUGCCGGGAAAUAAAAAUCACCUUUUUCUAUUUAGUUUUUUCUUAUUAAUCCCUCCACCAUGGCAGAAACUUCAGUAUGGUUAUCUAUUCACUCCAGCUGUAAAUUGAAUGUAUAACUCAAAUAACGGUUGGUGUCACAUGAUAUAACCUGCUGUAACUGGCCCCAAUUUCCGUUUGAGAUGUCAUCAAACCGAACAGAGGAUGGCUGAAGAUCCAAUAUGAUUCCUGAUCAGAUUUCUCAAAAUAUUGCUGCUGAGCAUUAUUGUUUCCUAUCAUGCGUAUAUCUUCAAAUGGCCUAAAUGAGAUUCAAUCUGGAUUUGCCAAUUGAAUCCAUCCAUCAGAUAAGUCUUUACGUUGGUGAUUUCAUUGAAUUUCUCAUUCUCUCAUUAAAGGGCUUAUGUUUCUUUACAAAUUUCUGGAAACAUGCCAUGUAAUGGGUGGUUACAUCCAUCCUAUAAUUAAAGAAUUUCUGAGUGUUGGAAGAAUAUAUAAUUGGAUAUAUGCUUUUAUAUUUGGCAAAUAUCGGUAAGAGGAAGUUGAGGUCUGUGUGUGGAAGGAAGAGAGGAUAGAUUGAAAAUUAGUUUCUGGAGUCUGUUAAUCUUGAUUGGAAGGUUUUUCUUAUUGAUCUCCAUGUUCUAUUCAAUUUUAUUGUUCACUUCUAUUCAUAUUUUUAUUUUUGCCCCGGGGUGGAUCAAAAUGAGUUACAGAACCUUAUUUUUAAUCCAGGGCUUCCUGAGUGCAACAGAGACCAGGUAGUUCUCAAUAAGUUGCUGCUGUUUUGCCACUGAUCCCUAGAAUUAUCCGCGACGUAUCUCUUUUGUACUGGGUCUAUCUCGAUCGGUUGAUACGGCUAGACGAUUACCCAACUGACAUCCCUACCUCUUCUGAUGCCUUAUUGAGUGCUACUGCCAUGCUUGUAGAUGGGACAAUGUAGCAUUGUAUGCUUAUCAUCCUCAAUUCAUUCUUGCUAGGUGAUGAGAGCUUACCCUGAAUUGACAAAUUAAAGUUACAUGUGGAAAUUCUUAUUUUUCUGAUCAAGAAACAUUCAACUACAAAAUUAAUGACGGCACUUAGAGCCAGCUAAGCUUUGACUGAUCAACAUGAAGUGGAUGAGCUAUUAACAAUUUUCAAACGUUUACUAUCUAGUGCAUGGAUGAAUAUACAUUUUAUUUGUAAAUGUGUGGCAUGUAGUUGAUACUACUUUUACCUGAUAAACGUGAAAAUUUGAAUUAUAUCCUUUUCAGUGGGGGAAAUUUGACUGCUUCUUGGGUCUAACAUGCUGAGCACUAUAUACUUGCUCCUGAAGUAUGAUUUGGUUACAAUAGAUUUGAAUUAUGUCAAGUGGUUGACAAUAGAUUUGAAUUUUUUGACAACUGGUAAAAAUGUGGUGAAAUAAUUAUAUUUCUGUCUAUCUUGGAAGAAUAGUAAACC